rnacentral:rRNA from 1 species
GACGAACGCUGGCGGCGUGCUUAACACAUGCAAGUCGAACGGAAAGGCCUCUUUCGGGGGGUACUCGAGUGGCGAACGGGUGAGUAACACGUGAGUAACCUGCCCUUGACUUUGGGAUAACUUCCGGAAACUGGGGCUAAUACCGGAUAGGAGCUCCUGCUGCAUGGUGGGGGUUGGAAAGUUUCGGCGGUUGGGGGUGGACUCGCGGCUUAUCAGCUUGUUGUUGGGGUAGUGGAUUACCAAGGCGUUGACGGGUAGCCGGCCUGAGAGGGUGACCGGCCACAUUGGGACUGAGAGAAGGCCCAGAUACCUACGGGAGGGAGAAGUGGGGAAGAUUGAACAAGGGGUGGAAGGCGGAUGCAGAAACGCCGUGGGCGGGAUGACGGCCUUCGGGGUGUAAACCGCAUUCGCUCAUGACGAAGCUUUGUGUGACGGUAGUGGGUAAAGAAGCACCGGCUAACUACGUG